UUUAGUUCCUAAAGUAUAUUAUGCUCAGUUUGGUGCUCAGCAGUAUUUAACUAACACAGCCAUUAAUACUGUUUUUUCUACAUCAAGCUCAUCAAUCCUUCCUAUAUAUGCUGCACGGUUUGCUUUGAAUGGAACAUUUUUAGAUUUAAGCCUCAUCAACGAUACCAUCAUAUAUGUUGUGUAAAGAUCGUUGUUCAAAGAUGACUACCACUUGGCAAGUUGGUGUUCAUUAUGAAAUACAGUGUUCUCUUGACCCCAUUGCUCUUAUGACUGAUGGCUCUAGCCCUAUAUUCUAUGAUAUAUAUAUCAAAGAUGGUAAUAUGUUAGUGCCCAUUCCAGUCUUACUUAGUGGCUAUAGGGACAAUAAUGGUGUCCUUGUUAAUGAA